CGAUGCUACCAUGCAGUCGAACGGUGUCUUCGGACAUAGUGGCGGACGGGUGAGUAACGCGUGAGAAUCUGCCUUCAGGAUGGGGACAACAGUUGGAAACGACUGCUAAAACCCGAUGUGCCGAAAGGUGAAAUAUUUAUAGCCUGAAGAGGAGCUCGCGUCAGAUUAGCUAGAUGGUGGGGUAAGAGCCUACCAUGGCGACGAUCUGUAGCUGGUCUGAGAGGAUGAGCAGCCACACUGGGACUGAGACACGGCCCAGACUCCUACGGGAGGCAGCAGUGGGGAAUUUUCCGCAAUGGGCGAAGGCCUGACGGAGCAAUACCGCGUGAGGGAGGAAGGCUCUUGGGUUGUAAACCUCUUUUCUCAAGGAAGAAAAAAAAUGACGGUACUUGAGGAAUCAGCAUCGGCUAACUCCGUGCCAGCAGCCGCGGUAAUACGGAGGAUGCAAGCGUUAUUCGGAAUUAUUGGGCGUAAAGCGUCCGCAGGUGGCACUUCAAGUCUGCUGUCAAAGACAGAAGCUUAACUUCUGGUCGGCAGUGGAAACUGAAGAGCUAGAGUACGGUAGGGGCAGAGGGAAUUUCCAGUGUAGCGGUGAAAUGCGUAGAGAUUGGAAAGAACACCAGUGGCGAAGGCGCUCUGCUGGGCCUGUACUGACACUGAGGGACGAAAGCUAGGGGAGCGAAAGGGAUUAGAUACCCCUGUAGUCCUAGCUGUAAACGAUGGAUACUAGGCGUAGCUUG
rnacentral:rRNA from 1 species